rnacentral:rRNA from 1 species
CUUUGAAACAAGGAUUCCCCAGUAACGGCGAGUGAAGUGGGAAAAGCUCAACUUUGAAAUCUGGCUGUUUUACAGUCCGAGUUGUAGUCUCGAGAAGUGUUUUCCGCGUUAAACCGUGUAUGAGUCUGUUGGAACACAGCGUCAUAGAGGGUGAGAACCCCGUUCAUGACACGGCUUUUAAUGCUUUGUGAUACACUUUCGAUGAGUCGAGUUGUUUGGGAAUGCAGCUCAAAUUGGGUGGUAAAUUCCAUCUAAAGCUAAAUAUUGGCGAGAGACCGAUAGCAAACAAGUACCGUGAGGGAAAGAUGAAAAGCACUUUGGAAAGAGAGUUAAAAGUACGUGAAAUUGUCGAAAGGGAAACGCUUGAAGUCAGACGUGCACGGGAUUUAUUCCUAUUGCAGGCCAACAUCGGUUUUACGAGCCGGAUAAAGGUACAAGGAAGGUAGCAGUUUCGGCUGUGUUAUAGCCUCGUACUGAAUACGGAUUGUGAGACCGAGGGACGCAGCGCGCCGCAAGGCAAAGGGUCCGCCCUUUUCGCGCUUAGGAUGUUGGUGAAAUGGCUUUAA